AACGAACGUUGGCGGCGUGGAUUAGGCAUGCAAGUCGAGCGAAUCCCAACUUUGUAGCAAUACAGAGUUGGGGGAAGCGGCGCAAGGGGCAGUAAUGCAUGGAUAACCUACCCUGGGGACGGGGAUAGCUUUUCUAACGAGAAGGUAAUACCCGAUGAUGUGGCCGGUGGAUGCACUGGCUUCCAAAUGAAUUUCGCCCUGGGAGGGGUUCAUGUGGUAUUAGCUUGUUGGUGAGGUAACGGCUCACCAAGGCCAAGAUGCCUAGCUGGUGUGAGAGCAUGACCAGCGCCACUGGGACUGAGACACUGCCCAGACUCCUACGGGAGGCUGCAGUCGAGGAUCUUCCGCAAUGGGCGAAAGCCUGACGGAGCGACGCCGCGUGUGCGAUGAAGGCCUUCGGGUUGUAAAGCACUGUCGAGGGGGAGAAAAGGAAACUUGAUCGACCCCUGGAGGAAGGACGGGCUAAGUUCGUGCCAGCAGCCGCGGUAAGACGAACCGUCCUAACGUUGUUCGGAAUCACUGGGCUUAAAGGGCGCGUAGGCGGUCGGCAAAGUUAGGGGUGAAAUCUUUCGGCUUAACCGGAAAAGUGCCUUUAAAACUAGUCGACUCGAGCGAGAUAGGGGCAACUGGAACUUCCGGUGGAGCGGUGAAAUGCGUUGAUAUCGGAAGGAACGCCGGUGGCGAAAGCGAGUUGCUGGAUCUCUUCUGACGCUGAGGCGCGAAAGCCAGGGGAGCAAACGGGAUUAGAUACCCCGGUAGUCCUGGCCCUAAACGAUGAGUACUAGGUUGUGGACUUGACAUGGGUUCACAGCCGAAGCAAAAGUGCUAAGUACUCCGCCUGGGGAGUAUGGUCGCAAGGCUGAAACUCAAAGGAAUUGACGGGGGCUCACACAAGCGGUGGAGCAUGUGGCUUAAUUCGAGGCUACGCGAAGAACCUUAUCCUAGGCUUGACAUGUGCGAAAGCGCUGAGAAGUAGCUGCUUGAAAGAGCGUGCCAACGGUAUCCAGUCCGGAACUCAGUACAGGUGCUGCAUGGCUGUCGUCAGCUCGUGUCGUGAGAUGUCGGGUUAAGUCCCAUAACGAGCGAAACCCUUGCCCUUAGUUGCCAUUAUUAAGUUAGGGACUCUAGGGGGACUGCCGGUGUUAAACCGGAGGAAGGUGGGGAUGACGUCAAGUCCUCAUGGCCUUUAUGCCUAGGGCUGCACACGUGCUACAAUGGCACAUACAAAGGGACGCAAACCUGCGAGGGGGAGCAAAUCCCAAAAAAUGUGCCCCAGUUCAGAUUGGAGGCUGCAACUCGCCUCCAUGAAGUUGGAAUCGCUAGUAAUCGCAGGUCAGCAACACUGUGGUGAAUGUGUUCCUGAGCCUUGUACACACCGCCC
rnacentral:rRNA from 1 species